UACGUAGGGUGCAAGCGUUGUCCGGAAUCAUUGGGCGUAAAGAGCGCGUAGGCGGCCCGAUAAGUCCGCUGUGAAAGUCAAGGGCUCAACCCUUGAAUGCCGGUGGAUACUGUCGGGCUAGAGUCCGGAAGAGGCGAGUGGAAUUCCUGGUGUAGCGGUGGAAUGCGCAGAUAUCAGGAGGAACACCGAUGGCGAAGGCAGCUCGCUGGGACGGUACUGACGCUGAGGCGCGAAAGCGUGGGGAGCGAACAGG
rnacentral:rRNA from 1 species